UACGUAGGGUGCAGGCGUUAAUCGGAAUUACUGGGCGUAAAGCGUGCGCAGGCGGUUUGUCGCGUCGGCUGUGAAAACUCGGGGCUCAACCCCGAGCCUGCAGUCGAUACGGGCAGACUAGAGGUGCGGUAGGGGAGACUGGAAUUCCUGGUGUAGCGGUGAAAUGCGCAGAUAUCAGGAGGAACACCGGUGGCGAAGGCGGGUCUCUGGGCCGUAACUGACGCUGAGGAGCGAAAGCGUGGGGAGCAAACAGG
rnacentral:rRNA from 1 species